UACGUAGGGGGCAAGCGUUGUCCGGAUUUAUUGGGCGUAAAGAGCGUGUAGGCGGCUUGGUAGGUCUCGCGUCAAAACCUGAGGCUCAACCUCAGUUCGCGUGGGAAACCACCUAGCUAGAGUCCGGAAGAGGAGAACGGAAUUCCCAGUGUAGCGGUGAAAUUCGUAGAUAUUGGGAAGAACACCGGUGGCGAAGGCGGCUAUCUGGCCCGUAAUUGACGCUGAGGCGCGAAAGCGUGGGGAGCAAACAGG
rnacentral:rRNA from 1 species